rnacentral:rRNA from 1 species
GCAGCAGUGAGGAAUAUUGGUCAAUGGGCGAGAGCCUGAACCAGCCAUGCCGCGUGCAGGAUGAAUGUUCUAUGAAUUGUAAACUGCUUUUAUACAGGAAGAAACCUACUUACGUGUAAGUAGCUGCCGGUACUGUAGGAAUAAGCACCGGUUAACUCCGUGCCAGCAGCCGCGGUAAUACGGAGAGUGCAAGCGUUAUCUCGAUUUAUUGGGUUUAAAGGGUACGUAGGCUGAAUAUUAAGUCAGUGGUGAAAUCCUGCGGCUCAACCGUAGAAUUGCCAUUUAUACUGAUAUUCUUGAAUAUAGUUGAGGUAGGCGGAAAGUGUAAUGUAGCGGUGAAAUGCUUAGAUAUUACACAGAACACCGAUUGCGAAGGCAGCUUACUAAAAUUAGAUUGACGAUGAUGUACGAAAGCGUGGGGAGCGAACAGGAUUAGAUACCCUUGUAGUCCACGAGUAAACGAUGAUCACUCGGAGUAGGGAUCAUGUCAGUGACUAAGCGAAAGCGUUAAGUUUCCAC